GCUUCUUCCCAAUCCAGCUCCAAAGUUUCAUUCCAAGGCAUUCUUCCUUGGCAGAUCUACCUUCCUGUGCCCUGUCAGGGUCUUUGGGUAUCCCACCUUCUCCCAGGGCAGAAUACUAGUGGCCAGUACCCAGAUUCCAGCUGUCUCCAUAUCAAAGGAGUCACCAAUCAAGGGUCACAUGAGACAAGAGCAGCUGGUGGGACAUCAGAUGGGCCUAGCAAGUCACAAGCCAAUGCCCCUUCAAGGUAUGCUGGAGCACAGGACACUCAGUGCCCACAGCUUCUAGCCUCCAGUGAGGUGGAAUCUCCACUCAGCGAGCUAAAGAAGGACACCCAUGCAGCUGGCUGCCACUCACCCAUACCUGGAGGGAUCGGGCUUCCUUGCCACCUCUAUGCAGCCUCUGGCAACCUGAGUGGCAGAAACCAGCUCAGGUUUCUGAUUUUAAUGAUUUCCUGAAUUCAUUCCAUUUCCUACCUCGGGGAAAGGAGGAGAGGCGAUCCUCUUGGAAAUUCAUAUAAUUGCUUUUAUUUGAUUUUUAUUAAAAU